rnacentral:snoRNA from 1 species
UUUCCAUGACAGUUCUGCUUCUGAGAAUUCAUGACUGAAAAGCCUGAUAUAUUGAUUUGA